rnacentral:rRNA from 1 species
GACGAACGCUGGCGGCGUGCCUAAUACAUGCAAGUAGAACGCAGUUUCGAACGGGUGAGUAACGCGUAGGUAACUGCCUCAUAGCGGGGGAUAACUCUUUGAAACGCUAGCUAAUACCGCAUACUGUGAGCUGGACCUGCGUUGGAUUAGGUAGUUGUUGGGGUAAACGGGCACCACAGCGACGAUACAUAGCCGACCUGGGAGGGUGAUCGGGCACAAUGGGACUGAGAAAAGGCCCAGACUCCUACGGGAGGCAGGAGUAGGGAAUCUGCGGAAAUGGACGGAAGGCUGAACGAGGAAAGCCUCGUGAGAUAAGGAGGUUUUCGGGUCGUAAAGCUCUGUUGUUAGAGAAGCGGUAACUAACCAGAAAGGGACGGCUAACUACGUGCCAGCAGCCGCGGUAAUAC